rnacentral:rRNA from 1 species
UAGCGAAAUUCCUUGUCGGGUAAGUUCCGACCCGCACGAAAGGCGUAACGAGUGGGGCGCUGUCUCGACGGAGGGCCCGGUGAAACUGAAGUAGGAGUGAAGAUGCUUCUUACCCGCAGCAGGACAAAAAGACCCCGUGGAGCUUUACUGCAGCUUGAUAUUGGAUUAGGGCUUACUCUGUGUAGGAUAGGUGGGAGACUGCGAAGCUGGUUCGCCAGGAUCGGUGGAGUCGCUGGUGAAAUACCACCCUGAUUGAGUUUUGGUUCUAACCUGUGGCGUGACCCGGUAUGGGGACAGUGUCAGGUGGGCAGUUUGACUGGGGCGGUCGCCUCCCAAAAGGUAACGGAGGCGCGCAAAGGUUCCCUCAGGCUGAAUGGAAACCAGUUGCAGAGUGCAAACGCAAAAGGGAGCUUGACUGCGAGACGGACAUGUUGAGCAGAGACGAAAGUCGGCGUUAGUGAACCCACGGUUCUGAGUGGAAAGGCUGUGGCUUAACGGAUAAAAGCUACCCCGGGGAUAACAGGCUAGUCUUCCCCAAGAGUUCACAUCGACGGGAAGGUGCGGCACCUCGAUGUCGGCUCGUCACAUCCUGGGGCUGGAGCAAGUCCCAAGGGUUGGGCUGUCCGCCCAUUAAAGUGGCACGCGAGCUGGGUUCAGACCGUCGUGAGACAGGUCGGUCUCUAUCCGCUGUGGGCGCAAGGGAAUUGAGAGGAGCUGUCCCUAGUACGAGAGGACCGGGAUGGACAGACCGCUGGUGUGCCAGUUGUCGUGCCAACGGCAUAGCUGGGUAGCUAAGUCUGGGAAGGAUAACCACUGAAAGCAUCUAAGUGGGAAGCCAGCCUCAAGAUAAGUUCCCUCACAGAGAGAGUCUGGUAAGUGCGCUGGUAGACGACCAGUUUGAUAGGCGGGACGUGUAAGGGCUGAGAGGUCUUGAGCGAACCCGUACUAAUGCACGAGGGCUUAACCUG